ensembl:snRNA U6 U6 spliceosomal RNA
AUGCUCACUUUGGUAGCACAUACACUAAAAUUGAAAUGAUAAUGAGAUUAGCAUGGCCCCUGAGCAAGGAUGACAUGCAAAUUCAUAAAGGGUUCCAUAACUUU